rnacentral:lncRNA from 1 species
AACUUAUUUUUCACCAAGUCAACAUCUCCUCUUGAUGUAUCCUAGUUUUUUUCCAACCGGUCCAUGAUCCUUCGAGAGCUGCUUUGAGUCUGAUAUAGGUGCUAGAGAAUCAAUUUGAUGGUUAUGGACAAAGUCUAUAAUGAUUUUUUCUUUGUUUUGGGGGGAAAGUGUGCAUGCAUGAUAAUGAAUGUGGAUGCAUGAAUU